UACGGAGGGUGCAAGCGUUGUCCGGAAUCACUGGGCGUAAAGGGCGCGUAGGCGGCUCGGUAAGUAGGGGGUAAAAUCCUGCGGCUCAACCGCAGGGCUGCCUUCUAAACUGUCGAGCUCGAGCACGGUAGAGGCAGAUGGAAUUCCCGGUGUAGCGGUGGAAUGCGUAGAGAUCGGGAAGAACAUCAGUGGCGAAGGCGGUCUGCUGGGCCGUUGCUGACGCUGAGGCGCGACAGCGUGGGGAGCAAACAGG
rnacentral:rRNA from 1 species